UACGUAGGGGCAAGCGUUGUCCGGAAUUAUUGGGCGUAAAGCGCGCGCAGGCGGUCCUUUAAGUCUGAUGUGAAAGCUCACGGCUUAACCGUGAAUGGUCAUUGGAAACUGGAGGACUUGAGUACAGAAGAGGAGAGUGGAAUUCCACGUGUAGCGGUGAAAUGCGUAGAGAUGUGGAGGAACACCAGUGGCGAAGGCGACUCUCUGGUCUGUAACUGACGCUUAGGUGCGAAAGCGUGGGUAGCAAACAGGAUUAGAUACCCUGGUA
rnacentral:rRNA from 1 species